GAUGAACGCUGGCGGCGUGCCUAAUACAUGCAAGUCGAGCGAACAGACGAGGAGCUUGCUCCUCUGACGUUAGCGGCGGACGGGUGAGUAACACGUGGAUAACCUACCUAUAAGACUGGGAUAACUUCGGGAAACCGGAGCUAAUACCGGAUAAUAUAUUAAACCGCAUGGUUCAAUAGUGAAAGACGGUUUUGCUGUCACUUAUAGAUGGAUCCGCGCCGCAUUAGCUAGUUGGUAAGGUAACGGCUUACCAAGGCAACGAUGCGUAGCCGACCUGAGAGGGUGAUCGGCCACACUGGAACUGAGACACGGUCCAGACUCCUACGGGAGGCAGCAGUAGGGAAUCUUCCGCAAUGGGCGAAAGCCUGACGGAGCAACGCCGCGUGCGUGAUGAAGGUCUUCGGAUCGUAAAACUCUGUUAUUAGGGAAGAACAAAUGUGUAAGUAACUAUGCACGUCUUGACGGUACCUAAUCAGAAAGCCACGGCUAACUACGUG
rnacentral:rRNA from 1 species